UUUAAAUGAAGCUAUGGCAUAUAAGCAGUAUGGUGCAACUUUGGCGGCCCCCACCACCCAGUGGUGGUAGCUCGCGGCGCACGGUGGGGACGGUUCGCGACGCCCUGGUGGG